CCUACGGGAGGCAGCAGUGAGGAAUAUUGGUCAAUGGACGAGAGUCUGAACCAGCCAAGUAGCGUGAAGGAUGACUGCCCUAUGGGUUGUAAACUUCUUUUAUAUGGGAAUAAAAUGUCCCACGUGUGGGAUUUUGUAUGUACCAUAUGAAUAAGGAUCGGCUAACUCCGUGCCAGCAGCCGCGGUAAUACGGAGGAUCCGAGCGUUAUCCGGAUUUAUUGGGUUUAAAGGGAGCGUAGGUGGAUUGUUAAGUCAGUUGUGAAAGUUUGCGGCUCAACCGUAAAAUUGCAGUUGAAACUGGCAGUCUUGAGUACAGUAGAGGUGGGCGGAAUGCGUGGUGUAGCGGUGAAAUGCUUAGAUAUCACGAAGAACUCCGAUUGCGAAGGCAGUUCACUGGACUGCAACUGACGCUGAGGCUCGAAAGUGUUGGUAUCAAACAGGAUUAGAUACCCCGGUAGUC
rnacentral:rRNA from 1 species